rnacentral:sRNA from 1 species
AUUAUCGAAAUCCAUGAGUGAGGGUUGCUGCUGGUCUCCUCCGAGGGGGGCAACGUGCACACCCGAGCUCACAACAAACCCCCCAUGGGCUUUCGGGCCCGUGGAACCCCCCACAACACCCCGUCUUAUACAGAAUGUUUUUUUUGAAUAGUACAUCGCCUUAAAAAAGUGAUGGAACCUUAUACAACUUUCAACAACGGAUCUCUUGGCUCUCGCAUCGAUGAAGAACGCAGCGAAAUGCGAUAAGUAAUGUGAAUUGCAGAUUUUCAGUGAAUCAUCGAAUCUUUGAACGCACCUUGCGCCCCUUGGUAUUCCGAGGGGCAUGCCUGUUUGAGUGUCAUUAAAUCCUCAACCCCAUUGACCUCUGUCGUGUUUUGGGGCUUGGACUUGGGGCGUGCUGGCGAUCUACGUCGGCUCCCCUUUAAAUGCAUCAGUUGAAGGAGGAGCUCGAUCAUUUUCUCUCUUUUGUCGGGGGAUCAUGGACCGUUCGGUGUGAUAAUCCUGUUGCGCCGUCGGACUGCGGUCGGGUUUCGCUUUUGCUUCCAACCAAAAGGCCGUCCUCGUGAUGACCAAUUUUUUGAAUUUUGACCUCAAAUCAGGUAGGACUACCCGCUGAACUUAAGCAUAUCAAUAAGCGGAGGAAAAGAAACUAACAAGGAUUCCCCUAGUAACUGCGAGUGAAGCGGGAAGAGCUCAAAUUUAAAAUCUGGCGGUCCACCCGGCCGUCCG